rnacentral:rRNA from 1 species
GAGUUUGAUCCUGGCUCAGGACGAACGCUGGCGGCGCGCCUAACACAUGCAAGUCGAACGAGAGAGAGGGAGCUUGCUUCCUUGAUCGAGUGGCGAACGGGUGAGUAACGCGUGAGGAACCUGCCUCAAAGAGGGGGACAACAGUUGGAAACGACUGCUAAUACCGCAUAAGCCCACGGUGCUGCAUGGCACAGAGGGAAAAGGAGUAAUCCGCUUUGAGAUGGCCUCGCGUCCGAUUAGCUGGUUGGUGAGGUAACGGCCCACCAAGGCGACGAUCGGUAGCCGGACUGAGAGGUUGAACGGCCACAUUGGGACUGAGACACGGCCCAGACUCCUACGGGAGGCAGCAGUGGGGAAUAUUGCACAAUGGGGGAAACCCUGAUGCAGCGACGCCGCGUGGAGGAAGAAGGUUUUCGGAUUGUAAACUCCUGUCGCUAGGGACGAUAAUGACGGUACCUAACAAGAAAGCACCGGCUAACUACGUGCCAGCCGCCGCGGUAAUAC